AUGGUCCGGCGUUUGACAUACUGUCGUAGGCUUUCCUGAAAUACAGCCUUUAACAAAACUAGGCUCCCCCGAACCCCUGGUAAUGGAAUUGUUUACCUUUAUACCAAGAAGGUUGGGAAAGCACCAAAAUCUGCAUGUGGCGUGUGCCCAGGCAGACUUCGAGGGGUUCUUGCUGUAAGACCUAAAGUUCUUAUGAGAUUGUCCAACACAAGGAAACAUGUCCGCAGGGCCUGUGGUGGUUUGAUGUGUGCUAAAUGUGUCUGUGACAGGAUCAAGGGCGCUUUCCUUAUCGAGGAGCAGAAAAUUGUUGUGAAAGUGUUGAAGGCACAUGCACGGGGUCAGAAAGCUAAAUAA
rnacentral:lncRNA from 1 species